rnacentral:rRNA from 1 species
GGUGAACGCUAGCGGUGCGCCUAACACAUGCAAGUCGAGCGGUAGAAUAAUAAUUGAUUUCUUCGGGAUGAUAAUAUUAUUUGAGAGCGGCGAACGGGUGAGUAAUGUGUUGAUACCUGCCCUUAAGUCAGGGAUAGUCUAGAGAAAUCUAGGUUAAUACCGGAUAGUCUCUUUGGAGUAAAGAUUUAUUACUUAAGGAGGGGUCUGCAUUCUAUCAGCUUGUUGGUAAGGUAAUGGCUUACCAAGGCUAUGACGGAUAACUGGUCUGAGAGGAUGAUCAGUCACAAUGGAACUGAGACACGGUCCAUACUCCUACGGGAGGCAGCAGUGAGGAAUCUUCCACAAUGGACGAAAGUCUGAUGGAGCGACACCGCGUGAAGGAUGACGGUCUAACGAUUGUAAACUUCUUUUCUGAGGGAGCAUAAUGAGAGUACCUUAGGAAUAAGGGACGGCUAAAUACGUGCCAGCAGCCGCGGUAAUACGUAUGUCCCAAGCGUUACCCGGAAUUACUGGGUGUAAAGGGUUUGUAGGUGGAAUAAUAAGUCAGAUAUGAAAGACCGGAGCUUAACUUCGUGUUUGUGUUUGAAACUGUUAUUCUAGAAUCAGGGAGAGGUAAGCGGAAUUCUAAGUGUAGGGGUGCAAUCCGUAGAUACUUAGAAGAACACCAAAAGCGAAGGCAGCUUACUGGAACUGUAUUGACGCUCAUAAACGAAAGCGUGGGGAGCGAAAAGG